rnacentral:rRNA from 1 species
UACGAAGGGGGCUAGCGUUAUUCGGAAUCACUGGGCUUAAAGGGUGCGUAGGCGGCCAUGUAAGUGGGGUGUGAAAUCCCUCGGCUCAACCGAGGAACUGCGCUCCAUACUGCAUGGCUUGAGGGAGGCAGGGGUAAGCGGAACUGAUGGUGGAGCGGUGAAAUGCGUUGAUAUCAGCAGGAACACCGGUGGCGAAAGCGGCUUACUGGGUCUCUACUGACGCUGAGGUACGAAAGCUAGGGUAGCGAACGGG